CUAAAAUCAUUUUCUUCGAUUUUGAUGUUCAGUUUAAUAUUACCAGCUGGUUAGGCUACUCAGCUUUAAAAAUGUAAUUUUACUCAAAUCAUCAUUCAAUUCUCCGCAGGAUUUGCUGAUUUUAUGAUACAUCCUUCCUCAAUUGAUUGCAUAAUAAGGUUACAACUAAAAAGGUCAACCAAAAAAAUAUAUUUGCUAUACUUAAUGAUAUCUGUAAAUCCAUUUAAUCAACUCUUUUUAAUAAAAGUUUCAUAAAUUUCUUAGUUUGCACUUAAACACCCAUUGGUCAACAGAAGGAUGUUUGAAAACAUCGAUAUCAU
rnacentral:lncRNA from 1 species